rnacentral:lncRNA from 8 species
GGAAUGAUAAAUCCAUUAUGUACUAUAUUUUUUGUGUCAUUUUGUGGGUGUUGUUAGAAAUAGUAUUCUGAAGCUCGUGAUUGUGAACUUAUUGGUGCAGUGGAAGCUUCACUCUUCUGUUUUCAAGAGCAAUAAUUGUUACCCCAAAAUGAUCUAUCCUUUAUCUUGUAUCACUCUAAAUCUCACUUUUAUGACCAUAUCCUUCUCUCAAGCAGGCUCUCAGCAUCUCUCCUUAUCUCUAUCAUCUAUUUAAUUUACCUCCCAUCACUUUCACUCUUCCCUGUUUAAUUUCAUCACCCUGUCCACUCUCCCCUCCUCUCUCCUCCCUUGCCUCUGAUCUUUCAGUGUGGUGGCGCUCUCAUGCUGCAUCAUCGGGGAUAACACAUGCUCUCUGUUUAUUAUCAGGGAGGGAGGGAGUUGGAGAGAAAGAAGGAGGGAGGAUGAGAGGGUAUCAGAGAACCCAUAGAGUAGACAGCCUUUCUCUGUAGCACACACAGACACACAGACCAGAACAGACUGGGGGAAAGAGAGAGGGAAACAGACGCACUGCAAAAUCCAGACGCAUCAACAGCCACCCUAGCAGCUCAAACCACCACAGCAGAUGGGGCCCGGAUUGUUUUGGAACUUCUCUUCAAAGGCUAACUGCUCGGUGCCGCAGAGCCUGCUGCAGACCAUGUUGCUCUCCAGGAUGGCUGGGAUGAAGGAGCAGCAAUUUACUGAGGAGAAACCCCUACUGCAAGAACAGAGAGGACAAGACACUGAGAUGGAGAACUGUGAGACCCUGAUGCCCACUGGAGACUGGAAGGUACUGAAACUGUUUUCUACAUUUUCAAUGUACCGUACUCUCUUUCUCUCUCUAUCCUUCUCUGGUUGCUGUUAUUACUGUACAUCACAGGAGGCUGCUGAGGGGAAAACGGCUCAUAAUAAUGACCAGAACAGAGCAAAUAAAAUGGCAUCAAACACUUGGAAACCAUGUGUUUGACCUAUUUGAUACCAUUGCACAUCUUCCGUUCCUUACCACUAGCCCAUCCUCCCCAAUUAAGGUGCCACCAACCUCCUGUGCUGUACACUCACCCACGUAACCAUGGUGACUCAUUGGGAGGAGAAGAGGGAAGAAGAUGGGGAGAAGGAUAAGUGACUGUUUGGCCAUAGCACAGCUAAUAUGAGUUGGGACCACUAGAUACUGAUGCAAUCAUUCACUAUCACACAGCAGCUCUCACACAGUGCAGAACCACAAAAGUUUUAAAGUCCUUAGAAGUUGAUUUCUGUAAUGUGAUGUUCAGAGUCUAUUUUAACAUGAAUCCACGUAGCGAUUAGAUCAGAGAUAUGACUAAUCGUCUAGACACCUCCAUUCUCCCCUCUGUCUGAUACCUCCAGUGUCACCUCCCCCCUCUCUCACCUCCCCCUCUGCCCCCCUCUUCCCCCCUCUCUCACCCUCUCAACUCAAUUCAAUUCAAAUGGCUUUAUUGCCAUGGGAAACAUAUGUUACAUUGCCAAAGCAAAUGAAAUCGAUAAUAAACAAAAGUGAAAUAAACAAUCGAAAAUGAACAGUAAACAUUACACUCACAAAAGUUUCAAAGGAAUAAAGACAUUUCAAAUGUCAUAUUAUGCCUAUGUACAGUGUUGUAAGUAUGUGGAUAUAGUUAAAGUACAAAAGGGAAAAUAAAUAAACAUGAAUAUGCGUUUGUUCUUCACCGGUUGCCGUUUUCGUGUGGCAACAGGUCACAAAUAUUGCUGCUGUGAUGGCACACUGUGGUAUUUCACCCAGUAGAUAUGGGAAUUUGUUUUCUUAUUCUUUGUGGGUCUGUGUAAUCUGAGGGAAAUAUGUGGCUCUAAUAUGGUAAUACAUUAGGAAGUGCAGCUCAGUUUCCACCUCAUUUUGUGGGCAGUGUGCACAUAGCCUGUCUUCUCUUGAAAGCCAGGUCUGCCUACAGCAAGGCUAUGCUCACUGAGUCUGGCUAUGCUCACUGAGUCUGUACAUAGUCAAAGCUUUCUUUAAUUUUGGGUCAGUCACAGUGGUCAUGUAUUCUGCCACUGUGUACUCUCUGUUUAGGGCCAAACAGCAUUCCAGUUUUUCUGGUUAAUUCUUUCCAAUGUGUCAAGCAAUUAUCUUUUAGUUUUCUUAUGAUUUGGUUGGGUGUAGAUGUGUUGCUGUCCUGGGGCUCUGUGGGGUGUGUUUGUGAACAGAGCCCCAGGACCAGCUUGCUUAGGAGAUUCUUCUGUAGGUUCAUCUCUCUGUAGGUGAUGUCUUAUUUAUGGAAGGUUUAGAAAUCGCUUCCUUUCAUGUGGUUGUGGAAUAUAACCGCUCUUUUCUGGAUUUUGAUAAUUAGCGGGUAUCGUCCUAAUUCUGCUCUGCAUUAUUGGGUGUUUUACAUUGUACACGUAAUAUGUUUUUGCAGAAUUCUGCAUGCAGAGUCUCAAUUUGGUGUUUGUACCAUUUUGUGAAUUAUAGGUUGGUGAGGGACCCCAGACCUCACAACCAUAAAUGGCAAUAGGUUCUAUAACUGAUUCAAGUAUUUUUAGCCAGAUCCUAAUUGGGAUGUUGAAUUAUAUGUUCCUUUUAAUGGCGUAGAGGGAUCUUCUUGCCUUGUUUCUCAGAUCGUUCACAGGUUUGUGGAAGUUACCUGUGUUGCUGAUGUUCAGGCCGAGGUAUGUAUGAUUUUUUGUGUGCUCUUUGGCAAUGGUUGUCUAGAUGGAAAUUGAAUUUGUGUUCCUGGCAACUGGACCUUUUUUGGAACACCAUUUCCUGUCAGGGCCCAAGUCUGACAUAAUCUGUGCAGAAGAUCUAGGAGCUGUUGUGUUCCCCCCCCCCCCCCUUCUCUCUCUAUCUGUUAAAUGCUUUGCACAAAUCAGCAGGCCUCAAGUUGUAUCACACAGUGGUUGAGUGUAUGGUGCCAUGUAGCUCAGUUGGUAGAGUGUUGUGCUUGUAACGCAAGGGUUGUGGAUUCGAUUCCCACUGGGCACCAUUACGAAAAUGUAUGCACAAAUGUAAGUCGCUCUGGAUAAAAGCUAAAAUGUAAAUGUUUGUAUGUGUGUUUUUCUGAGGGUAUCCUUGCAUGUGUGUGUGAUGACAGUGCAUAUGAUUAUAGGUGAGAGAAUGAGGUUGUGUAUUUAAUGAAGACUGGAAAUGUUGAGUCAGCCGGGGAGUGGGUUAAUCCCUCUCUUCCGCAGAAAAGGGGGACCGAGCUAGAGAGAGAAAGAGACAUGGAGAGUUUACAGUUGAGUCAGCUUGCUAAGUUCUCUGUACACAGGAAAGGCGGAUACCGACGAGAGAAAGAAAAAAUUGAUGUUGUGGAGAAUAUGGACAAUGGCUGCUGGUGUGAAUAAAUGUAACCUAUAGCAGAGACAGCCACUGCUGCCAUAUUGAUCUGUAGUCAGCACUGUUCCAUCAUCCCCUGCUUUCUGAGUAGAUGCACGCACAUACAGUACUCUGCUCUGCUUUACUGGUGACCUAUGGCCACUUACUGUCCCAUCAAUGUCCCAUUACACAGAAGCAUGGAGGAGCCUACUGGCUGCUGCUGCUGCUGCACAGAGACAGAAAGAGAUGUCACUGUUCUCUGUUUAAUUUUUAUUUGUAAAAAUAAAUCUCACUGCAUGCUAAGCAUUUGUUUAUGCAUCACCGUCCAUGACUGUUAAGGAGCGAUAAGAGGGGUGGGAAAGGAAAGGAGACAGGUAGGACAGGGUCAAUAAGAGAGAGAGGGAGAGAAAAAGAGAGGGAGAUAAGCCAUCUUCUCCUGAAACAGAGCACUGGUGCUGAUGAGAGAGCAAAACAAGAGCACAGCAGAGAACCUGCUGUGACUGACAGAGGAGCUAACCAAUCAUGUGCAGAGAGGCAGCACUGGCAGCGAAUAGGCUUGAGUUCGACACGCCCUCAUGGUGGGGUUUAUAAGGUGUCGGGGGAAGAGAGGGGGCACAGCACUGCAGCGCUCAGCCCCAGAGCAGGACGAGGCUAGACGAGACAAGACAAGACGAGACAAAGAGACCACCAGCAGCAUCCCCCAGCAGGCUCUGCUCUAAAGCCAGGACCUAGUCCCACUACAGGAGAGGACUGGCUCUGUCUGUCUGUCUGUCUCGUCUCCACUGACUGCUCCUCCUCCUCCUCCUGCCAUUCUUCCUCCUCUUUCUCCUCCACCACUG